GAUGAACGCUGGCGGCGUGCUUAACACAUGCAAGUCGAACGAAGCACUUUAUUUGAUUUCCUUCGGGACUGAUUAUUUUGUGACUGAGUGGCGGACGGGUGAGUAACGCGUGGGUAACCUGCCUUGUACAGGGGGAUAACAGUUGGAAACGGCUGCUAAUACCGCAUAAGCGCACGUCAUCGCAUGAUGCAGUGUGAAAAACUCCGGUGGUAUAAGAUGGACCCGCGUUGGAUUAGCUAGUUGGUGAGGUAACGGCCCACCAAGGCGACGAUCCAUAGCCGACCUGGGAGGGUGACCGGCCACAUUGGGACUGAGACACGGCCCAAACUCCUACGGGAGGCAGCAGUGGGGAAUAUUGCACAAUGGGCGAAAGCCUGAUGCAGCGACGCCGCGUGAGCGAAGAAGUAUUUCGGUAUGUAAAGCUCUAUCAGCAGGGAAGAUAAUGACGGUACCUGACUAAGAAGCACCGGCUAAAUACGUG
rnacentral:rRNA from 1 species